rnacentral:rRNA from 1 species
GACGAACGCUGGCGGCGCGCUUAACACAUGCAAGUCGAGCGAUGAAAUUUCGACAGAUCCCUUCGGGGUGAAGAUGAAAUGGAUUAGCGGCGGACGGGUGAGUAACACGUGAGUAACCUGCCUUUGACAUUGGGAUAGCCUCGGGAAACUGGGAUUAAUACCAAAUGACACUAACUGAUCACAUGAUCAAUUAGUCAAAGAAAUUCGGUCAAAGAUGGACUCGCGGCUGAUUAGCUAGUUGGUGAGGUAACGGCCCACCAAGGCGACGAUGCGUGGCCGGGCGGGGAGGGGGAUCGGCCACAUUUGAACUGAGACACGGUCCAAACUCCUACGGGAGGCAGCAGUGGGGAAUAUUGCACAAUGGGGGAAACCCUGAUGCAGCGACGCCGCGUGAGCGAAGAAGGCCUUCGGGUCGUAAAGCUCUUUUAUGAGGGAAGAUAAUGACGGUACCUCAAGAAAAAGCCCCGGCUAACUACGUG